rnacentral:rRNA from 1 species
UAGGGAAUCUUCGGCAAUGGGGGGAACCCUGACCGAGCAACGCCGCGUGAGUGAAGAAGGUUUUCGGAUCGUAAAGCUCUGUUGUUAAGGAAGAACGAGUGUGAGAAUGGAAAGUUCAUGCUGUGACGGUACUUAACCAGAAAGGGACGGCUAACUACGUGCCAGCAGCCGCGGUAAUACGUAGGUCCCGAGCGUUGUCCGGAUUUAUUGGGCGUAAAGCGAGCGCAGGCGGUUAGAAAAGUCUGAAGUGAAAGGCAGUGGCUCAACCAUUGUAGGCUUUGGAAACUGUUUAGAUUGAGUGCAGAAGGGGAGAGUGGAAUUCCAUGUGUAGCGGUGAAAUGCGUAGAUAUAUGGAGGAACACCGGUGGCGAAAGCGGCUCUCUGGUCUGUAACUGACGAUGAGGCUAGAAAGCGUGGGGAGCGAACAGG